rfam:Camelus ferus unplaced genomic scaffold scaffold5409, whole genome shotgun sequence.
GAGGGUAUAGCUCAGUGGUAGAGUCCGUGCCUAGCAUGCACAAGGUCCUAGGUUCAAUCCCCAGUACCUUCA